GGAGUUGUGGCUCAGUAGUAGAGCACUUGCCUAGCAUGUGUGAGGCUCUGGGUUCAAUCCUCAGCAUCACAU
rnacentral:tRNA from 1 species